AUUUCCAACACUUGGACAUAACACAAUUUUCUCAGUCUUCUUCUCUCCUGGAAAUCGAAAGUCCAUGGCUCCAUGCCAACCUCGGAUCCCACUCAAAAGUAAAUCUACUAUCCAUUCAAACUAUCGAAGCUCCCAGCUCCUCGCCCAAGCCAGAUCCGCCGCCUCCAAGUCCUCCCUUGCCAAGUGAAGGAAAAUGCUUAAAGGUUGCAUCUUGUGCAGGUUUAGCUUUGAAGUUUUAGAGAGUGAGUAGUGAGUGACCCAUUUGGUGGUUUUUCGAAUUGGAAUGAUGAAGACGGAGAUAUUGACCCUUACUCUUGGUUUGGGGUUGAAUGGUUAGAUGGAAAAAAUUGUGGUCUUGCAAGUACUCUCUUUGUUUCUUCUUUCAUUUAAUAAUUUCAUUGGGGUUGAUCAAAAUUGUGUCUUGGUUGGAAGAUUCAAAUCAGCCCACCAUCAAAGUGUGAGCUCAGCAAGACAGUAAGCUUGUAUGUAUAAUUUUAUCAUUGAUCUUCCUGAUGAGUGUUAUUGUGAGACCUAUAUGUGUUAAAAUUUAUGUCCAUGUGUUCAAAGUUGUUAUGGAAUACACUUUUGACCAUUAGUUAGCUUUGGUAACUCCAUUAGAAUGCUUAUAACUGAAAUAGAUUAAGGUUCAAAUAUUGCACACCAUGUGUUUGAUAGUAUGCCUCAAAGACAACCACCAAGCUGAACUAGUGGGUUAUUUUGUUGUUUUCGAAAAACCUAUACUUCUUCUUUUAAUCUCAGUUUUUGUCACCUUAAAAUAGAUUCUUCAAUGAUUGUUUUAAACUUGGUUUCACUCAAAAUAAACUUGAAAUGAGAUACUUAUGAUAUUUUGAAGUUAACACAGUGUUUCAGGAUUGGAUCUCUGUUUGACCAUUCAUUUGAACUCCGAAUAACUUGAAAUUUUGUGAAAUUGUGGCUUUACAUUUCUAGUUCAAAUCUGGAGAGUUGUGCUUGAAAGCACUACAAGGAUGAUUGUUGGUGAAUUUUUCUUUUUUGCUACAAGUUUUAUGAAAAUUUCUGAAACUUGCAGCAAUCUUGUUACAAAACAAAUUAUGUUAGAAACUAUUACACUUUUCUCAGUCCUCAGUCUUUAGCAUGUUAAAUUAUACAUGUAAAGCAUGCUUUGAAAGUUAAACUUUAGUCCAAGAGGCUUACUUAACCUUAUUGAAAGUUUUUCAUGUUUUCAUCUGAUAUAUUUAUUUAGAAACACUAAAUUAUCCUGCUUUAUCUAAUGUUGCUUUUUAUCAUUGUGAGGAACCUUGCUAAUACUGAACAUUCCUAUCAUGGGAGACUGCUGGGAGCAAAAUCCCCAAUGUGAGGUUCUUGCUGAGAUAUGGAAGGGAAUAUAACAAGCUUUAGAAGCUAAUUGCAUUUGUGAAAGUCACUCAGUAGCCACAUGCUCCUUCAGGUUGAUCUACCUGUUUUCAAAUUGUUUGUGCUGCCAAGGAUAUUGAAAGCCUGGAUGAAGUGAAGAGAGGUUCAAGGAAGAGUAGUUGUUCGCCUUUAGUAAUAUUGUUCUCAUUUUAUUCUUGUGUUUUAAUGAAUGGAUGAUUAAGAAAUACUACAUUUAUAGUACAUUUGAUGCUUUAAUGUAUGGAUUAGAGUACUUCAUUGAUGA